AGUGAACGCUGGCGGCAGGCCUAAUACAUGCAAGUCGAACGGUGUAGCAAUACACAGUGGCGCACAGGUGCGUAACACGUAUGCAACCUACCUUACAUUGGGGGAUAGCCUUUCGAAAGGGAGAUUAAUACCGCAUAAGACAGUAACUAGGCAUCUAGUAGCUGUUAAAGAUUUAUCGAUGUAAGCUGGGCAUGCGUCCAAUUAGUUAGUUGGUGAGGUAACGGCUCACCAAGACGAUGAUUGGUAGGGGAACUGAGAGGUCAAUCCCCCACACUGGAGCUGGGAUAAGGGCCAGACUCCUACGGGAGGCAGCAGUAGGGAAUAUUGGGCAAUGGGCGCAAGCCUGACCCAGCCAUGCCGCGUGCAGGAAGAAGGCGUUAUGCGUUGUAAACUGCUUUUAUACAGGAAGAAACGACCCUUGCGAGGGGCAUUGACGGUACUGUAUGAAUAAGCACCGGCUAACUCCGUGCCAGCCGCCGCCGUAACAC
rnacentral:rRNA from 1 species